rnacentral:rRNA from 1 species
GACGAACGCUGGCGGCGUGCUUAACACAUGCAAGUCGAACGGAAAGGCCCUGCUGUUGUGGGGUGCUCGAGUGGCGAACGGGUGAGUAACACGUGAGUAACCUGCCCUUGACUUUGGGAUAACUUCAGGGAACUGGGGCUAAUACCGGCAAGGAGCUCCUGCUGCAUGGUGGGGGUUGGAAAGUGUCGGCGGUUGGGGAUGGACUCGCGGCUUAUCAGCUUGUUGGUGGGGUAGUGGCUUACCAAGGCUUGGACGGGUAGCCGGCCUGAGAGGGUGACCGGCCACAUUGGGACUGAGAUACGGCCCAGACUCCUACGGGAGGCAGCAGUGGGGAAUAUUGCACAAUGGGCGGAAGCCUGAUGCAGCAACGCCGCGUGCGGGAUGACGGCCUUCGGGUUGUAAACCGCUUUCGCCUGUGACGAAGCGUGAGUGACGGUAAUGGGUGAAGAAGCACCGGCUAACUACGUG